rnacentral:rRNA from 1 species
AAGUCCCGUAACGAGCGCAACCCUUGUCCUUAGUUGCCAGCAUUAAGUUGGGCACUCUAAGGAGACCGCCGGUGACAAACCGGAGGAAGGUGGGGAUGACGUCAAGUCAUCAUGGCCUUUAUGACCAGGGCUACACACGUGCUACAAUGGUAAGUACAGAGGGAAGCCAACUCGCGAGAGGGAGCCAAUCCCAGAAAACUUAUCGUAGUCCGGAUCGGAGUCUGCAACUCGACUCCGUGAAGUCGGAAUCGCUAGUAAUCGCAGAUCAGCAUUGCUGCGGUGAAUACGUUCCCGGGUCUUGUACACACCGCCCGU